GACGAACGCUGGCGGCGUGCUUAACACAUGCAAGUCGUACGGUAAGGCCCUUUCGGGGGUACACGAGUGGCGAACGGGUGAGUAACACGUGAGUAACCUGCCCACAACUUUGGGAUAACGCUAGGAAACUGGUGCUAAUACUGGAUAUGUGCUCCUGCUGCAUGGUGGGGGUUGGAAAGCUCCGGCGGUUGUGGAUGGACUCGCGGCCUAUCAGCUUGUUGGUGGGGUAGUGGCCUACCAAGGCGGCGACGGGUAGUCGGCCUGAGAGGGUGAUCGGCCACAUUGGGACUGAGAUACGGCCCAGACUCCUACGGGAGGCAGCAGUGGGGAAUAUUGCACAAUGGGCGCAAGCCUGAUGCAGCAACGCCGCGUGCGGGAUGACGGCCUUCGGGUUGUAAACCGCUUUCAGCAGGGACGAAGCUUUUUGUGACGGUACCUGCAGAAGAAGCACCGGCUAACUACGUG
rnacentral:rRNA from 1 species